UAACGGGAUUACUACCGGUGACGCCCUAUAGCGGGAGGAUUGUGGGGUGCUGCUUCACGGUGGUGCCCCUUGCAGUCACCCGCGGUUUACUUUGAAAAAAUUAGAGUGUUCAAAGCAGGCACAGUGCGCUUGGAUAUCUCAGCAUGGAAUAAUGGAAUAGGACUUUGGUGCUAUUUUGUUGGUUUCUAGGGCCAAGGUAAUGGUUAAUAGGGACAGUUGGGGGCGUUGGUAUUCCAGAGUCAGAGGUGAAAUUCUUGGAUUUCUGGACGACCGACUACUGCGAAAGCAUUCGCCAAGGAUGUUUUCAUUAAUCAAGAACGAAAGUCAGGGGAUCGAAGACGAUUAGAUACCGUCGUAGUCUUGACCAUAAACGAUGCCGACUCAGCGGUGUGCUACUUUGUUUUAUUGAAGGAAGAGUGCACGGCUGUAGGUGAAAACAAAGUGUUUGGGUUCUGGGGGGAGUAUGGUCGCAAGGCUGAAACUUGAAGGAAUUGACGGAAGGGCACCACCAGGAGUGGAGCCUGCGGCUUAAUUUGACUCAACACGGGAAAACUCACCAGGUCCAGACAUGAGGAGGAUUGACAGAUUGAGAGCGCUUUCGAGAUUGCAUGGGUGGUGGUGCAUGGGCCGUUCUUGGUUGGUGGAGCGAUUUGUCAGGUUAAUUCCGGUAACGGACGAGACCUCGGCGGGGAGUUGCCGACGGUAGUUUUCGGACUAUUUGAAUUUGAUUCUAGUCGGGAUCAC
rnacentral:rRNA from 1 species